AGGAUCCUGCCUUGAGUUCCUGCCCUGGCUUCCUUCCAUGAUAGACUGUGAUAAUAGAUAUACAAAGAAAAGAGUCCACAUGGUGGUGUGAGCCAUUCCUGUACUACACACCUUCAUUUACAGUAAGUGCUGUGGGGUUGGCCUGAUGGCUCCGUCAGUAAAGUCAGAUGACCUGAGGAUCUCCAGGAGCCACAUCGUGGAAGAAGAGAACUGACUCCCACAAGUUUUCUGCUGACCUCUGCAGAUGAAAGGAGAGGAAAAGCUCAUGUCCACCACAAGGCUGAAGAACCUCAGAGCUGCCCAGACUCAAAGACUGCCUACGAGGGGCCAUCUCUCCCAACCAGAAGCAUGGGGCAGAUCCCUGGAGGGCAAGACCUGAAGAAGCCAUGUACAAGAUGCCUUUGAACUGGGAGAUGGCAGGGGCAGGGAGGCUAGAGGCAGGGAAGACUGAUCCAAUUUUGGGGCUUCCUGGAGAGUGCUGGGUUCUAAUCAGCAACAUCAGGAAGAGUCGGAACAAAGGGAGAUGAGAAGAUGCAGAGUCCCUCAUGCCCCUGGAGCAGUGAACCCGCUAGCUCGUCCUACAAAGACACUCUAGCUGUCCGCAAUCUUUACCCAGACAGACAGGAACAAGAAACGGUGGCUGAGCGCCUCAGCGACUCAACAGAUGAAGCUUCUGAGAGGACCCGGCACCAGACCUUCGCUUUGUUCCUUCCCACGCACUGUGCUGACCUCCACACCUCAUUUGUGACUGACCCCUGGGUAAGCUACAGAAACAACGGACAGAGAGACGCAUUCGACACGCCAAGUUUCUCAAUAUUUCUUUUCUCCUGAGGUCCCAAUCCCUCCCUUUUAUGAGCAGGUUAAAGGUUUAUUCCCCGUUCUUUUAAGUUAGUAGGUUAACGCCACCAGGCCAGCUCCCCAAAUAUGACGCAGCCCCCAAAAUGAAACACUUGCAUCUCUCUUGGACAACCAAAAAGAAGUCAGUAUUUAUUUAGUUAUUUUUUACUUUUUUGGAGAAUUUCACACAUGAAUACUGUAUAUAUAUAUAUAAUUCCCCCCCACCCCAGGCUUCAUCUCCUCUUGUGUCCCUCAUGCUGCUUGGCAGACAACCCCCACUUAAUGGAAAUCCUGAGCUGUGUGGUAGCCAGAGUCCACACAUCCACUCCAGCUUCCGCUUCUUCAGAAAUCUGGGCACUUGAGCAUCUGCAGAGAGAGGCAGCUUGAAAUACAUACACGUUGACUAAGUGGAUGGGUCACUCCAGCGCUGUUGGGCUGCCAUUCCAGAUGAUGAAGGUCUUUCCACAGGCCCGCCAGCCAGAAGCGACCAGGUAUAGGGCAAAGAAGCCAGGCAUGGGUGGAGGCAGCCUGGCCUAGGCCGGUCCUGCCCUUGUCGAUGCAAAGCAUGUGGUGAAGACCCUGUGAAAGCCAGACUUGAAGAUGUCUAGAGACACACUGUCCACCUGCAGCCAGCCCACAUCAGCCAUCUUACCCAGGCCUGCCCUGCCUCUGGGCUUCAGCACCUUCAUGAGGAAGCCCUGAACUAGUCCUUAGGAGUCUGCCACAGUGGGGUGGGGUGGGAUCCUACAGUGAAGGUGGCCAGCACCAUCCUGCUCUCUCCAUCAGGACGGCCCCGUUCCUGCCAGGCCAGCCUUUGUCCCUUCACAAGCCCUCUCUGUCCUUCCUUGACCAGUAUUAGUUGUGUGUUAGACCUCACCGUGGGCCGUGGGCAGAGCCUUCUCUACCCAAAGAGGCUUUUCCAGCUGGCUGCCUAGUCUUCUGUAAAGACGGUAAUAAAAUAAACCAACAAAUACAAACACGAGUAGACACAGGAAUAGGCGAGCAAAUAGAGGAGAAAGUGAAUGACCGGGUGAAGGGACUCCAUUACAGCCUUCCUGAGGGGCCUUUCUGGAGGCUUCUUCAUUCAACUCUGCCCCUUAGAGUGAUGUCAUCUCCAUAGCAACAGUGUUCUAUCAACAGAAGUGUCCAAGAGUUGGCAAUGAGGCCCUGGCAGCCCAGUCCUGUGCUUCCAGCUUUCUAGGACCCUUCAUAUCUGUAGGGAGGGCGGGCGACACAUGGAGGCACUCCCUCAAUUGGGACAGGUGGGACCACUAACUGUUGUCACCCACUGGAUAUUUUUCACUGAUUGGAGUCCCUGGCACAAUUUGGGGGCACACAGGAGGAGGAAAGCCCUCCUUUUCCUCAGAGCUUGCAAUCUCACCAGCCUAGAACAUGAGAGCUCAGGGACUCAGGAGAACAAUAGCACACACUGUUCAUUCCUUCACUCACUGUGCCGGGCCCUGUGUAAAGAACCAGGCACAUUCCUGCCUGCUUCCUGACAAGGCUGAUUGGUUAUGAUCCUAGGCGUUGAACCCAGGGCCUGCCCAGUGCUAGGCAAGCACUCUUCAGCUGAACUGUAUCCUCAGCCCUAAAUAAAGAGGGUUCCCCCCCAAAUGUUAAUAUUAGAGUAACAUAGCAAUCUGAAUCGUGUUCUAGACGAACAACACGGGAUAACUAGUUCUGUCUGAUAACGUCAACACACUUCUGAGGAGGUGACAGUGUGGCUAGUGGCCCUGGAGGUUAAGGAAGGAAGAAGGAAAAGUAACUCUAGGUGAUGGAAAAUGUAUGCGCAUGGUUACCCGUGAGUCAGUCAAUGAGCUGCAAACUAGAAAGAAACGAGUCCCCCAAAAUAAAACUGGGUGGGAUUCAGGAGGGACUUCAAAGUCUUCUUCAGGACUUGGACACUUUUCUCCUGUCGGUGAACACACCAACCUUCCAAAUCACCUGGAAAAUUAAUUUAAAAAUCCCCGUUCCCAGCCAUGUAUGAGGGUGGACAUCUUUAACCUCAGGACUUGGGAGGCAGAGCCAGGCAGAUCUCUGAGUUUGAGGACAGCCUGGUCUACAUUGUGAGUUCCAGGCCAGCCAGGACUGCAUAGAGAGACACUGUCUCAAGAAGAAGAAAAAAAUAGUAAAAAUCCUAGGGCAUACUCCACACCCCUGACUGAGGAUUUCUUGAGGGCAGAUCUGAGAUUUCAAUGCUCUUCUUAGUGGAUCUCUCAUUAAACCUCAAAGUUUGGAAACUGAAGUUUGUGGCGUCCAGGAGGUGGAGAGAUCUUGGAAGGUUCUGGGAGGAGUUGACACAUUGAUUGGCUAAGGAUUUACAGAGGGCGUCAAUAUGAAAAGCGGAGUGGUUUGUGUGGGGGCUUCUGCACAGCGUUGAGAAGUGAGAAGCUGAGAGAGACGUUGUAGGCAGGGAGUCUUUUUUGUCAUCCCACCCGUGUGUUGUGCUUUCUGAACCAUUUUAGAUACUGUGUUCUAGUCUGUUUUUGGCUGUUUCCUGAGGCGGGGUAAUUUGUAAUGAAUGGAAGUUCAUUUGGUUCAUGUUUCUGGAAGCCUGGUUCUUCCAUUUGUGUCCCGUAGUAGAAGACAGAGAACAAAGGCAGCUGAUGGGGGAAGUGGAUUUACUGUUGUAGCAUCCAGCAUCCAGCAUCCAGCACGAACCCACCCUACAGUCCCAACAUUAACCGGUUACAACUACCACACUAUCCUGAGUUCUUACAGACAUGAAGUGACCAUUAAGCAGACCUCACCUUCCAACAAAGCUAGAUUUUCUUCCCUUUUUUCCCCCCUGGUUUUGCUUUUUGUUUUGUUUUUUUGAGACAGGGUUUCUCUGUGUAGCCUUGAUUGUCCUGGAGCUCAUGCUAUAGACCAGGCUGGCCUAGAACUAUGUAGAGCUGCUUGCCUCUACCUCCUGAGUGCUGAGAUUAAAGUUGUGUGCCACCAUGCCCAUCUAAGCCAGACUUUGAUGUAAAGGGAAGAGAGGGAAAAUGUAUUUGUUCAUUAAUACAGUGAACUUAAUUGGGCAAUUUAAUCCUCCCUUGUGAAUGCCUAUGUUACCUAAAUUAAGGUAAAAUUUCUUUAAAAAAAUAUGGAAACACAUGAAAGACAUUGAAAUGAAUGAAUUUAAGCUCUUAGGAACUUAAUGGGGAGGCAAUUCUGUGCUUUGAUACUGGGGGUCUAUUUCUAUUUACAUUUCUUUUUAUAGUUGUUUUGAUUAAAUUUGCUUAUCUUAUGUGUGAGUGAGUGUGCAGGCACACAUGCAUGCAUGAGAGAGAGAGAGAGAGAAAGAGAGAGAGAGAGAGAGAGAAGAGAGAUGGGGGGAGAAGAGAGAGAGGAACCAGGGAACUUGGGCCACAGGAGACAGGAGUGGAGUAAUGUGUAGGUCUUGGAGAUCAAACUUGGGUCAUCAAUUCUUGGCAGCAAAUGUAUCUAUUCAAUGAGCCAUCUUUCUGGGAGCACAUGUGUGUGUUUUGAGACUGUAAGAAUGCUGCAGGCUUUGUUCCAACACUGAUGUAUUAGUUACUUUUCUCAUUUUGUGGAUAAAUACCUGACAGAAACAACUUGGGUGAAGAAGGAUAUUUUUGGACUCGCAGUUUGAGAAGGAUGCCGUCCAUCAUGGCAGGAGGCAAGGCGGAAGGAGCAUGAGGUGGCCGGUCACAUUGCAUCUGUAGACAGGAAGUAGGGAGGGAUGAAGGCUGGAGGUUACAGUUGUUUCAGAUUUUGCUCUAUUGUAUGUGUAUGAGUAUUCUGCCUGUGCGACACAGGCAUGCAGUACCCUCUGAGGCCAGCAGAAAGCAGACACCCUCUGGAACUGAAGUUAACAGGUCAUCCAGCAGAGCAGCCCAGUGCUCUUGACUACUGAGCCAUCUCUCCAGCCACAUGAUGUUUUAGCUUUGUCAACUUGACAGUCGGGACUCACUUGGGAAGAGAGCUUCAGUGAUCGACUAUCUGGAUCAGGUUGGCCUCUGGAUAUGUCUGUGGGGAUUGUCUUGAUUACGUCAACUGAUGUAAAAAGACUCAUCCAUGGUGGGCGGCACCACUCCCAGAAUAUGAGUUCUGGACUGGUCAAGAGUGGAGAAAGUGAGCUGAGCCGCAGGCUUGCACGCAGUCAUUCUCCCCACUUCCGACUGUGGCUAUAACCAGCCUGCUUCAGGGUUCUGCUGUCUCGAGUUUCUAGCAGUGAUGAAAUGCAACUUGGAAUCGUAAGCCAAAUAAACCGUUUUUCCUUUAUA